UACGAAGGGGGCUAGCGUUGCUCGGAAUCACUGGGUGUAAAGGGUGCGUAGGCGGGUCUUUAAGUCAGGGGUGAAAUCCUGGAGCUCAACUCCAGAACUGCCUUUGAUACUGAGGAUCUUGAGUUCGGGAGAGGUGAGUGGAACUGCGAGUGUAGAGGUGAAAUUCGUAGAUAUUCGCAAGAACACCAGUGGCGAAGGCGGCUCACUGGCCCGAUACUGACGCUGAGGCACGAAAGCGUGGGGAGCGAACAGG
rnacentral:rRNA from 1 species